CCAGACAGCCAGGAUGUUGGCUUAGAAGCAGCCAUCAUUUAAAGAAAGCGUAAUAGCUCACUGGUCGAGUCGGCCUGCGCGGAAGAUGUAACGGGGCUAAACCAUGCACCGAAGCUGCGGCAGCGACACUAUGUGUUGUUGGGUAGGGGAGCGUUCUGUAAGCCGUUGAAGGUGUGCUGUGAGGCAUGCUGGAGGUAUCAGAAGUGCGAAUGCUGACAUAAGUAACGAUAAAGCGGGUGAAAAGCCCGCUCGCCGGAAGAC
rnacentral:rRNA from 1 species